UUUUUCAAGAGGAAUCGUAGAGUUUAGAGAGAGAAAAAGACAUCAGAGAAAAUGAACCCUAAUCCAAAAAUCAGGAUAAUGUGUCGUGUGAAUGAAUCGCAAAAACAGAAAAAAUCGCAAACCCACAACCUCAUUCAGCAAAUCGCGAAAAAAUGACACUUAACAAGCAAGAUUACCAAAAUAAAAUUGAUAUCGCAAACUGAAAUGAUUUGGAAAGAGAAUAGAACUUACUUGCUACUGCAAAUCGUAAAGUGAAACGAGAGAGAUGAAUUUAGGAUAGUUCAAAAUUGAAUUUAGGGGUUUUGGGGAUUAGAGUUAGUUGAAGAUAGUAGAGAGAAAAAGGUUUGAGAAAUACAAAGAAAAAGAAAAGAUUUCUUAAGUGUUUGGUGUAGUUGCAGUGAUGAUGUGAUAUUUUGUUCCCUUUCUGAUAUUGAGCUCCAGCGAUGAUGAGUGAUCUUACCAGCUUAUCA
rnacentral:lncRNA from 1 species